CCUACGGGUCGCAGCAGUGAGGAAUAUUGGUCAAUGGGCUUACGCCUGAACCAGCCAAGUCGCGUGAGGGAAGACUGUCCUAUGGGUUGUAAACCUCUUUUGUCAGGGAGCAACGCCGGCUACGUGUAGCCGGACGGAGAGUACCUGAAGAAAAAGCAUCGGCUAACUCCGUGCCAGCAGCCGCGGUAAUACGGAGGAUGCGAGCGUUAUCCGGAUUUAUUGGGUUAAAAGGGUGCGUAGGCGGAAUGCCAAGUCAGCGGUAAAAUCGCGGGGCUCAACCUCGCUCCGCCGUUGAAACUGGUGUUCUUGAGUGGGCGAGAAGUAUGCGGAAUGCGUGGUGUAGCGGUGAAAUGCAUAGAUAUCGCGCAGAACUCCGAUUGCGAAGGCAGCAUACCGGCGCCCAACUGACGCUGAGGCACGAAAGCGUGGGUAUCGAACAGGAUUAGAUACCCGGGUAGUC
rnacentral:rRNA from 1 species